rnacentral:rRNA from 1 species
AGGGGGGGCGUACCAUGCAGUCGUACGGUGUACAGGUAACUUGCUCUCGGGUGACGAGUGGCGGACGGGUGAGUAAUGUCUGGGAAACUGCCUGAUGGAGGGGGAUAACUACUGGAAACGGUAGCUAAUACCGCAUAACGUCGCAAGACCAAAGAGGGGGACCUUCGGGCCUCUUGCCAUCAGAUGUGCCCAGAUGGGAUUAGCUAGUAGGUGGGGUAACGGCUCACCUAGGCGACGAUCCCUAGCUGGUCUGAGAGGAUGACCAGCCACACUGGAACUGAGACACGGUCCAGACUCCUACGGGAGGCAGCAGUGGGGAAUAUUGCACAAUGGGCGCAAGCCUGAUGCAGCCAUGCCGCGUGUAUGAAGAAGGCCUUCGGGUUGUAAAGUACUUUCAGCGGGGAGGAAGGUGUUGUGGUUAAUAACCACAGCAAUUGACGUUACCCGCAGAAGAAGCACCGGCUAACUCCGUGCCAGCAGCCGCGGUAAUACGGAGGGUGCAAGCGUUAAUCGGAAUUACUGGGCGUAAAGCGCACGCAGGCGGUCUGUCAAGUCGGAUGUGAAAUCCCCGGGCUCAACCUGGGAACUGCAUUCGAAACUGCAAGCUGAAGUCUGUAAAGGGGGGUAGAACUCCAGUGUAGCGUGAAAUGCGUAAAAGAUCUGAGAAUACGUGCGAAGCGCCCCCUUGACAAAGACUGACGCUCAGGUGCGAAAGCUGGGAGCCACGAUGAUUCCUUGGUAGUCCAGCGUAACCAUGUCAUUGGAGUUGGCCUUGAGGCUGCUUCCGAACUAACGUAUCGACCCUGGAUACGUCCAGUCAAACUAAUGAUAGGUUCCCGCAACGUGAACCUGGU